ensembl:lncRNA
CAGCACAGUUUGCAUGUCAUGAAAACAAUUCUUCAACUCAUGCUGCUUUAACUUCCCCUUGUAUCUUGCAGAUAUGCUCUGCUAGAGCUGGAGAGGCGAGUCAUCUUCCCCUGCCUGGUUCCUUCCCCAACGAUCUCUGCAACAUUGACUCAGUGUUAUCAUAUAGAGGGAAAGGGGGCACCUGAACAGACAUUACCUUCAGCAACAAGUGCCCAUGAAGGAGCACCCCCAGACCAACAGCAAGCCUGUACUGUUAAGCGGACAGCUUCCCUGUCUCAGGACCACAUAUCAGCAGCUAAGCAAAAUCAUCGUUAAAGCUCAUUUUUGAACCAGAAGAAGUGGCACCAGAGGUAAGAUCAAAGCCACCAAAACUCCACAAAUCCUGCAAUACAGCUGAUGCACCCAAUGCAAUACACAGCUGCACCUCCCCCCUAUUCCUUGAGCAGAUCAGAAGAGCAGAAAACGAGAACAUUCCCAAGCUGGGAGCAAGCAGGAAACAGUGAGCUUCCCAAUGCCAAGAGCUCUGAUCUUGUUCAGUACCACCAAAACCAAAUGUGCAAGUCAAAAUUGUCUCCCCACUCAAGAAAACCCUGAAAAUUCCAUUUUACUUCCACCCUUUAUAGAGGCAUCUUUCAAGUUCUCAAAUCAGCUGUAAACAUUCUCUGCACCAAGCUUCGAAGGGCAAUAGCUUUGUGUUUCUUACCCUUAUGUAAGAAGGCUUAAGCAGGUUCACAACGAAACAGCAGGAGCUAGCAACGCUAACUCAAUUCCUCU